UGCGUAGGGUGCAAGCGUUAAUCGGAAUUACUGGGCGUAAAGCGUGCGCAGGCGGUUUUGUAAGACUGUCGUGAAAUCCCCGGGCUUAACCUGGGAAUGGCGAUGGUGACUGCAAGGCUAGAGUUUGGCAGAGGGGGGUAGAAUUCCACGUGUAGCAGUGAAAUGCGUAGAGAUGUGGAGGAACACCGAUGGCGAAGGCAGCCCCCUGGGUCAAAACUGACGCUCAUGCACGAAAGCGUGGGGAGCAAACAGG
rnacentral:rRNA from 1 species